AUCGGCAGAAGGCAGGCUGCAUGGAGGGAGCUAGCGCAGUGCUCGCACUUCGGCUACACGAAAUCUAGCAUGCCGCCGCUGCCGGGUGCCGGGGACGUGAAGCUCGGAGACAAGGCAGCCAGGUGCACGCCGGGGUAUCACGCCCGGCCGAUGAGAUCAGCAGCCACUCCUACGGCGCCAUCCAUCUUCAACACGCCUGGCUGAUUGGAGAAGAGAAGGCAGCUACCACUACGGCGCCAAGAUUGAUAAUGACGCCCGGCUGGAAGGGCAGCCGCCACCAUGGCGCCGCACGACGGAGCGGAUGGACAGAGGGCAGAGAUAUCCAGGUACGCGCCGCCGGCCACAAGAGGCUAACCAGGAGCCGCCAAGAAUAUGAAUCAUGUCCAGCUGAUUGCAUCACAGAUCAGCAUCUGCAACAGCCACGAGAGAAGGAGCGAGCCAAGCGUCAUUCGCAGAUUUAGCUUCUUCAUCGUUCCAGCUGCGCUGAUGGAGCUGGCCUAGCCAGCGCCCUACAUCAAGGCAGCGGAGGACGCCUACCUGAUCAAGGACGUACAAUGGAAAUCCGCGCCAUCAGCGAGAGCGCCAUCGUCGACG
rnacentral:lncRNA from 1 species